rnacentral:rRNA from 1 species
GACGAACGCUGGCGGCGUGCUUAACACAUGCAAGUCGAACGGAAAGGCCCUGCUUGCAGGGUACUCGAGUGGCGAACGGGUGAGUAACACGUGGGUGAUCUGCCCUGCACUUCGGGAUAAGCCUGGGAAACUGGGUCUAAUACCGGAUAGGAGCCAUUUUUAGUGUGAUGGUUGGAAAGUUUUUUCGGUGUUGGAUGAGCUCGCGGCCUAUCAGCUUGUUGGUGGGGUAAUGGCCUACCAAGGCGGCGACGGGUAGCCGGCCUGGGAGGGUGGACGGCCACAUUGGGACUGAGAUACGGCCCAGACUCCUACGGGAGGCAGCAGGGGGGAAUAUUGCACAAUGGGCGCAAGCCUGAUGCAGCGACGCCGCGUGGGGGAUGACGGCCUUCGGGUUGUAAACUCCUUUCGCUAGGGACGAAGCUUUUUGUGACGGUACCUAGAUAAGAAGCACCGGCUAACUACGUG